AUUACUGUUGACAACCAUCCUCCAUUUGUUUUAAUGGCUGCAAAUUUACAACAGCUAAGGGGGUUGUUGACUAAAUACAGUAGUUUCAAAGACGAUGAAAACCUGCCAUGGAUUUUCGACUCGCAAAGAAGACUAGUCUACGACAAUGCAACAUUCAUAAGUUUAGAGAACAGGAAAUUUUUUGCGAUGUCUUCUAAGUCACCUGCUGACUGGAUAUUACUCGAUCACGAAAUUAUUGAACUCAACUAUCAACAACUCGAAACACCGACAACUGAGAAUUCCGAUGAGACUUCUUUGAUAAAGCUUGCAUCGAAAACACUCCGCAUGCAACGCGACAAUAAAUUUAAACAACACAAUGAAUAACGAUUAAAUCAACAAUUAGACGACGACGAUAAAGUCGAAAUAAAAAUGAAUCUAGUCACCUGCAUC